CACAGUUUCAUCGACCAGGUCAGCACAUCUGCAUGGAAAGCACAGCUUCUAAGCCACCAUCUAUGGAAACCGGGAGAGGCUUUUGAGAGGUUUCACAGUGCCCUGAAGCUGACAUCCGGCUGCAUCUCUUUGGUUCCGCUGUUACAGCCCCAGACAGCCUGAAAACAUGUGCAGUAGGUAUCUUCUAUCCUCUUUAUCUGUUUGCCUCUCAUCCCCUGCUCCCUUUACUACGUCGAAAGAGACUCGAUAGCCCAGCGAUCAUUUCUAAUUUCCACCCUUCAGAUCAUCUGCUUUGAGACAGCAAUUAUUGGAGAUAUAAGAACCUGGGUAUAGAAUUGCAAAAUGUAAUUGGCAAAGAAGGAUGCGAUAUUCCCAAUGACAGGAAAAGACAGUAAACAUAAACAUAAUUCUUCUAUGAAGCAGCGUAGCACAGCGGGACGUUAUUACCAGGCAUGGCCCAGCUGGGGAAAUGCCCUCUGGUGGUCACACUGCCACCAGCGCAAUCACUUCUCAUUAAUGCCGGGCUGCUCUUAACUACUUAACCGCUGUUACUUGAGUGCCGUUAGCCAAAGCGUUCCAGUGUUGCAAGUCUGGUUUUAAAGGAUGUAUCAGAGACCUAAAGGGGAAGUUUGCCGUCCAACACUAUGUUACGAGAGGAGAAAUGUGAGCUAAGAAAUGUUAGUAAUUAAUUCAUUUCAUUAGCAGAAAAAAAAAAAGUUGUUUGAUUUUGGUUUGAUUGCACAAAUAUUUUCAAAUCAUUUUACUUCUUCUCUAAUAAUAAUAAUAAAAAAAAAACAACAGGAUUCAUACUGAAAAUGGAAAGGUACACUUGUUUUCUAGUUACAGUGCUCUGAUUUUAUCAGGCAUAUGCAAUUAUGUUUUGGGGGGAGUCGAGUGUAUAGCGCACUGAUUUUACAGUCUGAAUCUAAAUUUAUCUGUAUAAAAUGAACCACUAAAUCUAAAUUUAUCUGUAUAAAAUGAAGCAGCCUCCAACAUUUACAUGCAAUUUGAUCUCGGCAUCGCAUCCCUGAGUCACUGCAAUUUCUGUCAGCGCCGAGGCCCCUGGCUGCUCUUGCUGCAAACACGCUGGCUGACGCAAAAGGCAGCAUUACACCUCCUGAUACUGGUUAGAAUAUAUUUGAAUCCCGUAAGUACAUCAUAACACCGUUUUCAAUUUCUAUGUUUACAGUUAUCAACAAAAACACUGUUUGCACGUGUGUGAUGUGUACAGAAUGCUUAAGGGAAGAAAGAUUCAUUCGGUGUAAAAGCCACCACAGCACAAUGCCAUUUUGUUCAGUGUGCUUUUUCCCAGCUGGGUUUGCACUUCCAGACACGUGUUUUGGUUCAUUGUGUUACCCCACGUCCGGUCUCCAUGUAAGCUUAUAUCUAAUCACUCAAAAUUACUGCAGAUUGGAAAUUUCCUAGCCUCAGCAGAGGGCGAUGCCUAGCUGUCUGGAUGCACUAGGGCUACCACAAUAAAAGCCUCACUGAGGCCUUUUCUGUUUUC
ensembl:lncRNA